rnacentral:tRNA from 1 species
GUCCUUGUUGGGAAGGCACGCGCCUGCCGCGCGCGGCGGUAUAAAUCGUACCCCGGUUCGAUUCCGGCACUUAGCCCCA